rnacentral:rRNA from 1 species
GUGGGGAAUUUUUCGCAAUGGGGGAAACCCUGACGAAGCAACGCCGCGUGGAGGAUGAAGGCCUUCGGGUCGUAAACUCCUGUCGACCGGGACGAAAGUAGUCUGGCCCAAUACGCCGGGCUAUCGACUGUACCGGUGGAGGAAGCCACGGCUAACUCUGUGCCAGCAGCCGCGGUAAUACAGAGGUGGCAAGCGUUGUUCGGAAUUACUGGGCGUAAAGGGCGCGUAGGCGGCCUUUCAAGUCCUGUGUGAAAUCCCUCGGCUCAACUGAGGAAUUGCACGGGAAACUGUUUGGCUUGAGUUCGGGAGAGGGAAGCGGAAUUCCGGGUGUAGCGGUGAAAUGCGUAGAUAUCCGGAGGAACACCGGUGGCGAAGGCGGCUUCCUGGACCGACACUGACGCUGAGGCGCGAAAGCUAGGGGAGCAAACGGGAUUAGAAACCCCAGUAGUCC